GUAAAACCACAACUAUAUUACCCUGCUUUUUGAUUACGCUAUCGUCGACUACUCCACUGGAUUACUGAUCUUUUCAAAUUAAGCUACCGGCGAGUACUCCACCGGAUUACUGAUCUUUUCAAAUUAUGCCACCGGCGAGUACUCCAUCAGAUUACUUAUCUUUUCAAAUUACGCUACCGGCGAGUACUUCACCGGAUUACUGAUCUUUUCAAAUUACGCCACCGGCGAGUACUCCACCGGAUUACUGAUCUUUUCAAAUUAGUUACCGGCGAGUACUCCUGGAUUACUGACCUUCUCAAAUUACGCUACUGGCGAAGUACUCCACCGGAUUGCUGGUCUUUUCAAAUUACGCUACCGGCGAGUACUCCAUCGAAUUACUGAUCUUUUCAAAUUAAGCCACCGGUGAGUAUUCAACCGGAUUACUUAUCUUUUCAAAUUACGCUACCGGCGAGUACUCCACCGGAUUACUGAUCUUUUCAAAUUACGCAAAUUACGCCACCGGCAAGUACUCCACCGGAUUACUAAUCUUCUCAAAUUACGUAUCCGGCGAGUACUCCACCGGAUUACUGAUCUUCUCAAAUUACGCCACCGGCGAGUACUCCACUGGAUUUCUAAUCUUGACUACCGCAGUACCAUUGCAGUGACGAUGUCCGAUCAAAACCUAAAUCAUUAUCUUGGAAUUCUACUGGUCUUCCUAAUAUUUUGACAUUGUUUCCAUUUAAACGAACUAGGAAUAAUCCAGAAGAAUGUAUUGUCAGAUUUUUUUGGAGUUCUUAAAAAAAAAAUCUGUUGGAAAUUGUUGGCUUUUGGAUCAAAACCUUUCUUGUGAGGAUGACCUGCUUUGCACAGGUGCUUCGUGCUUCUCUGUUGCCGCUAUUGUCCUGUGGAUUCAGGAUUCAUUUGAUUUCUCUUAACAAAUUGAGUGCAAUCAAUUGUUCAUUCAAGCUUUCAGGAUACUUUUCAGGUCCUGAUGUUUACACAAUGGAAGUAUACAAGCAUGGAUAAAGAGAUGCCAUAAGUUUUCUUUUCUACACUCUGUUUAAUUCUAGCAGUUAUCUUCAUUGACAAUACAGUCAUUGUCAUGUUCUACAGCACACGGCAGAUGAGUGAUUUCAUUUGGAAGAACUGUGAGAAGGUAACGAUAGCUUAUUGAACUAUCGCUCAACUGAAAAAUGAAACUUCAUACGCUUCUGUGUUUCAAAGCUUUUGAACUAAUCGUGAUUUGUCGUCAUAAAGUUUAAUUUUUUUUUGUCACUAAAUCACCUUUUUGGUGAAACUACACAAACUUCUACUUUUCUUGUUCUUAUUACUCUCUCUGGUAUAACUCAAAAAGGCAAUUUAAUAUGUUGUCUCUUGAGCUGAAAAACUGUUGUUUGGAAUUGCACAUCAGGUGGAUAUAUGAGAUUUAGGAGAAAGUUUCAUUUCGUGAUGCAUCUUCUCUGUCUCAUAAGGCUAAUUUAUGUUUGCCGCCCUGAUAGAUUUCAAAGCUUUUAGUUGAUUCGUGUGUUGGCUUGGCAAAGUUCAGUUUCCUUCCCCCCAACCAAAUCGCCCUUUUCGUGAAAUUACAAAUGUCCUUACUCUGUCUUCCAUGGAGUUCAAUAAGAUAUGUUUUCUCUUGAGCUGAAAAACUGUGGUUUGUCACAGCAACUCAGGUGGGUUUAUGAGAUUUUGCAUUUAAAUUUCCAUUUCAGGGUGUUUCUUCUCCAUCUCAUAAGGCUAACUAUGCUUGCAGCCACGACGUAGUUCAAGUUUGGUUUCGCAAAUUUCAGUUUUUUUUUUCUGACUACACCACUCUUUUGGUUAAAGUAUACAUGACUUUCCACUUCUCUUAUUUUUAUUACUCUCUCCAGUAACUCAAAACAGCAAUCAAAGAUGUUUUCUGUUGAGCUCAAAAACUGUUGCUUGGCAUGACAUCUCAAGAGGGUCAGUGAGAUUUCGGAGAAAGUUCCAUUUCAUGGUGUUUCUUCUCUUUCUCAUAAGGCUAACUGAUGUUUGCAUCUAUGACAGGUUCUGUGAUUUUUAGCUGAUUAGUGUUUUGACUUGGCAAAGUUCAGUUUAUUUCCCACCCCUCACCAAACCACCCUUUUCGUGAUAUUACACAUGCACUCUCUCUUUUGUUAUUCUUAUUACUCACUCUGCUAUGUUUUAUACACAUUUCAGUUUUGGAGGUUUUCAUCUGUCGAUGUUCUAUCAAAUAUGUUGCUGUCAAGCAAAAGAAUUGUUUCUUGUCACGACACUUCUGGUGGGUCUGUGAGAUUUUGGGAAAAGUUUCAUAUUUAGGUCUUUCUUCUCUUUAGGCAAUGUGAUUCUUGAAGCCAUGCUGGGUUUCAAAGCUUUUGAGCUAGUGAUGUUUUGGCGUCGCAAAGUUUAAUUUCUUUUUGUCACUAAAUUACUCUUUUGGUGAAACUACAUGACCUUCUACUUUUCUUGUUCUUAUUACUCUCUUUGGUAUAACUCAGAAAAGCAAUUUAACAUGUUCUCUCUUGAGCUGGAAAGUUGUUGCUUAGCAUGGCUCCUCGGGUGGGUAUAUGAGAUAUAGUAGGAAGUUCCAUUUCAUGGUGCAUCUUCUGUGUCUCAUAAGGCUAUUGAUGCUUGCAGUCAUGACAAAUUUCAAAGCUUUUAAGUGGAUUCGUAUUUUAGCAUGGCAAAGUUCAGUUUCCUUCUUUCCCUUGACCAAGCCACCCUUUUUGUGAAAUUACAUAUGACCUUCCUCUUUUCUUAUUCUUAUUACUCUUUCUCUCUUCCGUUUUAUAAACUAUGAUGUGGAGGUUUUGUCUUCCGUGCAAGUUUGAUAAAAUCUGUUCUCUUUCGAGCUGAAAUACUGUUGCUUGGCACAACGUCUCAGGUGGAUUUAUGAGAUUUUGGACUUGUAUUUCCAUUUCAUGGUGUUUCUUCUCCAUCUCAUAAGGCUAAAUAAUACCUGCAGCUACGACGGAUUUCAAUAUUUUUGUGAGCUAAUCGUGUUUUGGCUUCGCAGAGGUCAGUUUGUUUUUCUCACCAAACCACCCUUGUGUUGAAAUGACACAUGACCUUCCACUUUUCUUAUUUUAUCACCCUCUCUUGCAAACUCAAAAUGACAAUCAAAUGUUUUUUUUUUGAGCUGAAAAACUGUUGCUUGGCAAUUGGCAUGGCAUCUCAAAUGCAUCCUACAUUUUGGAGAAAGUUCCAUUUCAUGUUGUUCCUUCUGUCUCAUGAAUCUAACUAAUGCUUGCAGGCUGCAGCCAUGACAGGUUCCUAAGCUAUUGAGCUGAUUCGUGUUUUGACUUGACAAAGUUUAGUUUCUUUCCCACUCCUCACCUAACCACCCUUUUCGUGAUAUUACACAUGCACUUCCUCUCUUCGUAUUCUUAUUACUCACUCUGCUCCGUUUUAUACACAAUGAAGAUUUUGAGGUUUUCAUCCUUCGAUAUUUUAUCAAACAUGUUGCCUGUGAAGCUAAAGAACUGUUGCUUGGCACGACAUUUCAGGUGGGUUUGUGAUGUAUUUUACAUCCACCAUUUCGAAGGAAGCAAAUGCACUUCAAGUACUUUCUAGUUUUCCUCAAACACAAACAAGUAAAAAAUUUGAUUUACAUACUUCACUUCUAAAGCUAUACUCUGAUCUUAUUGAUCUUUUGGUUUGUAUAUAUAAUCCUGAAGCCCAAACAAGGUCUUGCAUUCUUUGACCCUUGUGCAUCCCAGUGUCCCCUUCAAAAUUGUUGAUAUUGAAAGGUCCAUAUUUGAUACACCAGUUAACUCUGGUUUUUAUGAUGUUGUAUAUUUGCAUGCAGUGAGGAUGACCUGCUUUGCCCAGGUGCUUCUCCUUCUCCGUUGCACUAUUGUCCAGUGGGUUUAGGAUUCAUCUGAGUUCCCUUAACUAAUUGAGUGCAAGCAAUUGUUCAUUCAUACUUUCAGAAUACAUCUCUGGUGGGGUUCAUCUGAGUUCCCUUAACAAAUUGAGUGCAAACAAUUGUUCAUUCAAGCUUUCAGGAUACAUCUCAGGUCCUGAUGUUUACCCAGUGGAAGUAUACAAGUAUGGAUAAAAGGAUGUGAUAAGUUAUCUUUUCUACACUUUCUUUGAUUCUAGCAUUUAACUUCAUUGAACAUUACAGUGUGGUGACGGACUGACGGUUUAUUUUCAGUCGAAAGGCCAAGUAUGAAAUGAAACUUGUUAACAUUUGGAAUAGCAAAUUACAAGCUCAAGGGGAGUGCACAAGUACACGUGAUGGGAAGUCAAAAGAAGAUGAACCAUUCCUGUCAUUUGUUCAUGACCUGAAUAAGAAUUAACAGCUGAAUGUUUCUAGUGCAUGUUUCAGUUAAGUAGCUGCAUUUCUUUCUCCCACUUCUCAAGAUUAUCUUAGACUGCGUUCUUAUUAAUCAUGAAAGCAUUAGAAAUUACAAUGUCUAUUUCUUAGUCUCCUGCACUACAGUCUCUUUCAUAUUCCAUCUUGCAUAUGUUCUGAUUUUGUAACAGAAUUGUCAUGCCUGGCUUUUUUUACUCUUUAAGUUUUCACAAUUUGCACCAACAAAAAGUGAAGUUUCUGGGAGAAAAUGGAGGGACUUCCCUCCAGAUAUUACAGUUGUUUACCUAAGCUAUAUCUCAGAUGUUCUUGGGACUUCUUCUCUAUUUAUUUUGUUAAGAUGAUAAAUUUUUACUUUUUCCAAUAUGAGAUGCAGAGUGGUGCUGGAACAACGAAUCUUAAGAAUCAGGAUUCUAUACUCAAUGUCACUUCUGAUGUCUUGCAUUUUAUCGGUGAUUAAUCACUUCCUGAUACCAUUGAUAAAAACUGCCUAGAGGGUGCCAAAGUUCUCGAACAGGUUGAUAAUAAGUUUAUUCCGAUUGUGGCGAACACAACAAUUGCUAUAAUUCAUCAGAUCCAUUCUGUCCUUUCUAUUGUCCGUUAUGGCCAUUCUUUGUUUCUCAUGAAUUUCCUUGUAAUGCAUUUACUUUAAAUGAUUGUUUCUCUUAGGGAUCCUUUGGUUGGACAUUAGCAAAAAUAAAUCUCAGCAUAAACUUCCACAUAAACAGUAUUAACAUUUGUUUGCUGCAUAAGAAAAAGUAAUCUGCAUAACUAUGUUAUCACUCAGUUAUCCCCAUAAGAAGAAUAAGCUUGACAUAACUGAUGCAGCAUUUGGUUCUGGAAAAAUGAGGAUGACAGCCUAUCUUGAUUCUAAGUAAGAAUUGGCACCUAUUUUAUCUGAUAACGACAUUGGUUCCGAGUCUUCAACCAUGCUUUUGUAGGUCAUGCUUGAAAUUGGUUACCAAUCAGUGGUGGAGCCAGGAAUUUAACAAAGGGUGUCCAGAAAUAGCAACUUAUUAUAUUAAGGGUGUUCAAAAUAUGUUAUUUAAUCAUUUCGUAUAUCAGUUUUACUUAUAUAUAUGGGAUUAGAUCUGCAACAUUCAUUCUCAAGCUUCAAAAUCAUGUACUAGGUAAAUUAAUAUCUUUGUUUAAAUUUUCAUCACUCAACCAGUUGCACUAAGUUUUGCAAGAUUCGUUGAAGUUGAACUAAGUCUGUGCAUGAAGUUGUAUGUUUUGGUUAAAGCAGUUACCUUUAAUGUGAUUCACAGGUAGCCAACAUCUGUCACAAAGCAUGGCAAGCACUGAAGAUAAACAGUUGUAAUUUAUGUUUUUUAUGUCCUUGAGGAUGUGUAAGUGAUAAAUUUUGAGUAAUGAACAUAAAUAAGCUGGUCUUGUCCAAUGAAUUCCCAUGUGGUUUCUGUCAGUGCAUCCUUUUUUUUUUUCCAGUGUACUUUACCAGAUUUGUUUAAGGAUAUUCCUAUUCUUUGACUGUUACCAGAGAAAA